rnacentral:rRNA from 1 species
GUUUGAUUAUGACUCCAGAUUGAACGCUGGCGGGAUGCUUUAUACCGUCGAACGGCAACACGGACUUCGGUCUGGUGGCGAGUGGCGAACGGGUGAGUAUUAACCUCGGAGACGUGCCUAGUAGCGGGGAUAACUACGCAGCGUGGCUAAUACCGCAUACGCCCUUCAGGGAAAGCGGGGGACCUUCGGGCCUCGCACUAUUAGAACGGCCCGAUAUCGGAUUAGCUAGUUGAUUGGGUAACGGCUCACCAAGGCGACGAUCAAUAGCUGGUUUGAGAGGACGACCAGCCACACUGGGACUACGGAACCACGGCCCAGACUCCUACAGGAGAGCAGCAGUGGGGGAAUUUUGGACAAUGGGAAACCCUGAUCCAGCCAUCCCGCGGCAAUGUGCGAUCAGAGCCUUCGGGUUUGUAGCCCUUUUGGCAGGAAAGAAACGGCACGGGAUAAUACCCCAUUCGCUGACAGUACCUGCAGAAUAAGCACCGGCUAACUACAUUUUCCAGCAGCCGCGGUAAUACGUAGGGUGCAAGCGUUAAUCGGAAUUACUGGGCGUAAAGCGUGCGCAGGCGGUUCGGAAAGAAAGAUGUGAAAUCCCAAGAGCUUAACUUUGGAACUGCAUUUUUAACUACCGAGCUACGAAGUGUGUCAGAGGGAGGUGGAAUUCCGCGUGUAGCAGUGAAAGUAAGUAAGUAUGCGGAGGAACACCGAUGGCGAAGGCAGCCUCACGGGAUAACACUGACGCUCAUGCACGUGGGGAGCAAACAGGAUUAGAUACCCUGGUGGUCCACGCCCUAAACGAUGUCAACUAGCUGUUGGGGCCUUCGGGCCUUGGUAGCGCAACUAGCGUGAAGUUGACCGCCUGGGAGUACGGUCGCAAGAUUAAAACUCAAAGAAUUGACGGGAACCCGCACAAGCGGUGGAUGAUGUGGAUUAAUUCACAACGCGAAAAGCCUUACCUACCCUUGACGUCUGGAAUCGAGAUUUGCGGAGUGCUCGCAAGAGAACCGGAACACAGGUGCUGCAUGGCUUUUGUCGUCAGCUCGUGCCGGUAAGAGAUGUUAGGUUAGGGUCCGCAACGAGCGCAGCCCUUGUCAUUAGUUACCACGAAGGGCACUCUGGCGAGACUGCCGGUGACAGGAAACCGGAGGAAGGUGAAAGGGACAGCGUCCAGUCCUCCCAUGGCCCUUAUGGGUAGGGCUUCACACGUCAUACAAUGGUCGGGACAGAGGGUCGCCAACCCGCGAGGGGGAGCAAUCCGAAAGCUGAUCGUAGUCCGGAUCGCAGUCUGCAACUCGACUGCGUGAAGUCGGAAUCGCUAAUAAUCGCGGAUCAGCAUGUCGCGGUGAAUACGUUCGGGUCUUGUACACACCGCCCGUCACACCAUAGGGGAGUGGGUUUUACCAAGUAGUUAGCCUAACCGGAGGCGAUUACUACGGUAGGAUUCAUGACUGGGGUGAAGUCGUAACAAGGUAG